UGCGGCUUAAUUUGACUCAACACGGGAAACCUCACCCGGCCCGGACACGGACAGGAUUGACAGAUUGAUAGCUCUUUCUCGAUUCCGUGGGUGGUGGUGCAUGGCCGUUCUUAGUUGGUGGAGCGAUUUGUCUGGUUAAUUCCGAUAACGAACGAGACUCUGGCAUGCUAACUAGUUACGCGACCCCCGAGCGGUCGGCGUCCCCCAACUUCUUAGAGGGACAAGUGGCGUUCAGCCACCCGAGAUUGAGCAAUAACAGGUCUGUGAUGCCCUUAGAUGUCCGGGGCUGCACGCGCGCUACACUGACUGGCUCAGCGUGUGCCUACCCUACGCCGGCAGGCGCGGGUAACCCGUUGAACCCCAUUCGUGAUGGGGAUCGGGGAUUGCAAUUAUUCCCCAUGAACGAGGAAUUCCCAGUAAGUGCGGGUCAUAAGCUUGCGUUGAUUAAGUCCCUGCCCUUUGUACACACCGCCCGUCGCUACUACCGAUUGGAUGGUUUAGUGAGGCCCUCGGAUCGGCCCCGCCGGGGUCGGCCCACGGCCCUGGCGGAGCGCUGAGAAGACGGUCGAACUUG
rnacentral:rRNA from 1 species